AGUUGACGUUGGUCAGCACGGAGGCCACAGGAUCCCAGCCCGGCCUUUGUGGGACUGAGGUGGCGCUGAGUGGGAGAGCAGCAGGCGAUGCGCGAAAGGCGGGACUUGGAGAUAAAUACUGAGCACCCACUACAGGCAGCCAGCACCACUGCAGAUUGGAUACUGCUAUGAUGAUAAGCAUGGCCUGCCUUUAUGGAGGUUCUGGAUGUUCCUGUGGAUAACCUCAAGGAGCAGGGGACCUGGGACAUGACUGCCCCCAGCAUUCCUUCUGGCGGCAGACAGAGUUUGUCAGUUCGCCAACAUCCUGCUUUCAUGAGAACAGUUUGCUGUUUGCUCACAGAGCCUCCAGUGGUAUACUGAGUUGGUCACGACCCUCAUUCCUUCGGCCUCCAACAUCUCCCCUUUUGUUUUUGCAUUAAUUGAAUAAAGAUGACGUCACUGAGGUAAGGGCGGGUUAAAGCCUGUUCUGUACCAAGCAAGUUGUGCAGCCAACUGGGGGACUGAAUCCCAGUGUGACGUGACGAAGAGGUGUUGAAGGUCCACCACCAGUGCCAGUGAAGUUUGUGCCAAGAGAUUCCGCUGGCUCAUGGCUUGUACUGGAGGUAACAGGCCCACGGUUGAAUACCACGGAUCCCUCCGGUCUCCCGUUCCAUGGUCACACACACCUGGAGGGCACCCACACGGUUUGUCCAUCUCCUGUAAAAACACAAGCAUACCCUCGUCCCCACGUCAGCAAAUCCACCGGACCUUUCCAUUGUCCUUCUUCUGGGGAUUUCCAUAACACUUUUGGAUAAACUUGCCUCUUUUCCUCUAGCAGUUGCCAGUGUCGUUCUGUUGGGGUCUUGCCAUCCGUACCAGGAGUCAAACAAUUUAAAGUAAACAAGGCUAAAUGUAAUUUUGUUUGAAGUGGUAAUUGGUCCCCUAUUCUCCCUUUUUGUUUUUUCAGCAUGCGUUGUAGUGUUUGAUGUACCCGCUCAAUAAUGCCUGGUCCUCAGGGAUUGUAUGGAAUUCCUGUUUUAUGAUUGAUUGCCCACAAUUGUAAAAAAUUGGGAAAGCAUGACUAACAUAAGCGAGUCUACUGUCAGUUUUAAAUUGUUUAGGGACCCCCAUAUGGGCAAAUGACGACAGACAGUAUCGUCAGACAUGACCAGCUGUUUCUCCAGUUUGGCAUGUGGCAUGUAAUAUAUGGGAGUAAGUGUCUAUAUUACAUGAACAUAGCGGAGUUUGCCAAAGGCUGCUAUAUAUAUGUAACAUCCAUCUGCCAGAUUUCAUUUGGAGCCAAGCCUCGUGGGUUGCAUCCUUCCACAGGUGCAACACCAGGGACAUGCUGGCAAGUGGGGUAGGCUUGCACAAUAACUCAAGCCUGGCUGCGAGGCAGAUGAAACAUACGAGUAAGGGCAAGUUGUUCUGAUGCAGUAAAGCAUGGGAAGCUUGGGCUUGUUGAAAUAUAGAACUGAUGAAUUUAUCUGCUCUAUCAUUACCUAGAGAUAGUGGCCCCAGGAAGUUGUGUGUGAGAUCGGAUAUGAGAAAUAUGAAAAGGGGCAGCAUGAGAGCGAACAGCUUUUUGGAGUCUCAGAAAUAGGUUAAGCAGUUCUGGUUUUAAGGUGCUCUUGUGUGGGCGGCAAGCCACCCAGGCGCCGAAGCAAGAGACAGAGGACACGGGCUGUUCCAGUAUAAUAACAUAUAAAACAAGAAUAGUUAUACCAGAUAUAGAUCUUAGAUAUGAUUAUAUAUGAAUAUCAUUAAUCAUUAGUUUGUAGCAAUUAAUUUUUAUUCCAAUAUUACAAUAAUCCUCGCUCUAUAAUCAUAGCCUAGGAAAAACCAGGCCAUACAGAGAUAGAAGCUGAGGGGACACAGUGAGAAGUGACCAGAAGACAAGAGUGCGAGCCUUCUGUUAUGUCCAGACAGGGCCACUAGAGGGCUCCUUGGUCUAGCGGUGACGCCAGCGUUUGGGAAGACCGUGGUCUAGCGGUAGCGAAAAGUGUCAAGGAACAACACCCGCUACUUAGCAGACCGGGAAAGGAGGGGGGGUCUCCCUUUCCCUGGGGGAGGUUAGAGAAGACUCUGCUCCUCCACCUCUUGUGGAGGGCCUGACAUUAGUCAGGCUCGCCCACAGUUAUCCGGAGGCCUAACCGUCUCCCUGUGAUGCUGUGCUUCGGUGGUCACGCUCCUAGUCCACCUUCAUGUUCCAUCCUGUACACCUGGCUCUGCCUUCUAGAUAGCAGUAGUAAAUUAGUGAAAGUACUAAUAGUCCCUGAUAUGCAGAAAUAAUGGCGCAAGCUGUCUUUCUCUCUGUCUCCUCUCUCUCUCUGCCUCAGCUGCCAGGCAGGGAAGGGCCCCCUGACCAGUGGACACAUGACCCACGUGACCUUACCUAUCAUUGGAGAUGACUCACACUCUUUACCCUGCC
rnacentral:antisense_RNA from 1 species